rnacentral:tRNA from 1 species
AACUAGAUGACUGAAAGGAAGUGUAGAUCUUUUAAAUCUAAAAUAGUAUAACGACUACUUCUAGUUG